CGCCGUGCGGCCUGGGCGUGGACUUUGAAGUCGGGGCGGGUUCUUGGGCCGGGAGUCUGGCGGCGCUUUAAGAAGAGAAAAGCUUUUUGUCGCACGCGCACGGCGUAGCCUCCAUUUUCCUUCGGCUUCAAUCUGCGCAGUCUCGUAGGCUCUCUUAGGAGUUGUCCACGACGGAAAGCUUCUGCCUACCGGCGCCUCGGGGAAGGACGCACCUGGGAGUGCAGAAGAAACAGCGGUCCACGUUUGUGUUGGAUUUGAAUGCUCCCCCCCCCACGUUGUCUUGUUUGAAUUCCACAGCCGCUUACGCUGUGGGGCUUAUUUUUGAGAUUUCUGGCCAAAGGUUAUCAAGUUAGAGGAGCUGAAUUUUUAAGCUAGACUUCGAGGUCAUGGGUAGUGUGGUUUUAAACCAAGCUGUGAUUUAAAACAGAAGGUUAAGGAGAAACAGAUAAACGAGGAACUGAAUUUACUUUAUUUUGUUACAGUUAAAACUGUAACACCGCACGUACCUAUUGAUUAACCCCUUCUGUCGUUGUGAGAGAGUACCGCGGAGCUCCGUUCUGGGAGGAGAUAGGUCUCUGGCCCUGAGCCAAUACCUAUUGUGUGUGAAUAAAAUCUGCCUUUUAAAAUUUUAACUAUUUGCCAAAGACAAAAUACAGGCAGACGUAUUUCUAAAAGGCUUUUAGAUUGUAAGUGUAAUCAGAGAAGGAAUUUUGUGCUUCUUGUUUACUUUGGUAUCCCCACUCCUACAGCCCUGGCAGAUCACACAAACCCUCUAAUUCAGCCAGACGUACGUGAACCACAGAUGUUCAUCACCCCUCCCAGGACCAAGUUCAUUUUCAGCAGCCCAGAUGUGACAACCAUAAAUGAAGUGCCAGAGGUGCACAUGAGAAAACCAGGCUCCCUUGUCUGCUCAACAGAUGGCAGAGCCGAGUGGCCGCAUAGCCCAGGAGGAGGCACUGGCCAUCCUGCAAAAUGCAGCAUCCCUGGGCAGAAAACCUGCAUUUGUGAUGGUGAUAAUUUCAUGGAUGGAUAUUCACCAGAGCUGCAUCGUGUUCCAUUCCCUGACAUCUAUAGACUGCAGUCUAUAUAACCAGUUCCCUAGUGACGGAAGGGAGGAAGAGCUGAUCCACCAAGUUACAGGUAGUGACCUGGGGCUGACAAAUCUUUGUGAAAGCCCGGAGUGAGCCCCUUCGCUGUGAGCCGUGAUCUGCAUGGACCUGAGGAAUGGCUGCAAAGGUUCUCACACCCCAGACCAUCUUGCUGAGAAGCAUACAUCCUCAGGCUACACUCAGGCUAGGCUUUCACAUCCUUUUUUUUGAAACUGGAUUCGCUUUUUUAAACACAGCUGACUUCAUCUUUUACAUGAUGCAAAUUCUUAUUCCUGUCUUUGUGAAACUCGUCAGUGUCCUCAUGAUCUCCACAUGUCUGUGAGCUCGAGUGCGGGCUGUUUUAGACAGUCCAGCCACAGAAGCUAAUAAUAACUAAGAAGCACUUGAGAGCUUCUCCUGCUCCAAGCACCACACCAAGAGUUUCUGAGGGAUGAUCUCAUGUCAUCCUCACAACAGCCCCAGGAAGUAGCUCUGGUUAUUAGCCUAUUUUGUGGAUUACAACUCUGAGACCCAAAGGGGUUAAAUCAGAUACCCCAAAUCACAUAACUAGUCCAUGGCAGGGCUGGCACAGGAUACGAACCUAGGUGUUUUUUUUUUUUUUUUUACUUUUGCAUAACAGGGAUAAAAUAAAGAUAAUGAUGAUGAUAACUCCCAGCACUGUGAUGGGCACUUGAAUAGGGGAUACUGUUGGGGCACUCUGGAUACCCUUUAAUUUGUCAUAUACCCCGCCUCCAGCUGCUGUGAGUUUUGGCGGCUCCCAGCUCUCAUCUACUUCUUUCUUUGGAGCGAUGGGCUGCCUAGAAAUGACUGCUUUCCCUCUGGAGGUGACCCUCAGCCAAUGACAGACAGAUAUGGGGUGCACAAACCUAGUUCCUUGUCUUGAGGCAGGAUAACUCUGUGGUGCCGUAGGUGCUACUGAGCUGAAUAAGAAUUCAGCUGAACCUGCAUCGUUCUUGGCUUCUUCCUCUGUUUUAUCCUGCUUCCUUCUGUCUCCCUCUCCUUCUCCUGAGAGCACUCCCACCAGGAAUCCCCAUCUCAGGUCCUACUUCUGUAGAACCUCGGAAAAGCCUGAAGAGCCCAGAACUACUGUCUUUAUUUUACAGAGUGAGAACAUGAAGCUGGAGGUGCUGUCUCCACUUUUAAAGACACUCCCUCUCGUUCUUGGAGGAGUGACAUCACCUGGGCUCCCUGCCCACCAGGGAGUGCUUUCCUUAGCUUCCCUCUUUGAAUUUACUGCCUUCCAAGGAUAAGAGGAGCAAUUUUACCUUCAUAGGCUCUACAUCUUCUGAUCACUCUCCCUUAUCCUCACUCUUUCCCGUCUCCUGAGUUGUCAUUCUCUCCCAGCAGCCACCAUGAACCAUGGCUAUCAGACACAUGUAGACAAGCUGGGGGCUGAGGUAGUCAUGGAUUGUUGGUGCUGAGCCUGAUUUUUCCCCUGUCCCUUGCACUGAUAGCACACCCUGCCCCCGUUCUUCAGUCACAGGGUAGGCAGGUGAUCCAGGCUGGACCAGUGAACCAUCCCAGACCAGUGAACCAUCCCCUACUGGUUGCAGAGAUUAGUUCAUAAAUGAGUGUGUGACCAAGCCAAGCCAAUCAGAGCCCUUCCUUGGGACAGUUUUGGGGACAUCAAGGGGGAAAGACAGCCUCCUGCUUCUGACAUGCUAUAAAGAUUCGAAUCUGAGGCUGUCAGUGGCCAUCUUCCCUGCUGCAUGGGAAAAAAAGCCCUAUGAGGUCAUGGAGAAUAAGGUAACAUCCAGUGACCAAAAGCACCAAGAGGCAGAGAGAGAAAUCUUGAGAACACUGAAGCAUUGCUAGGUCACCUAAUGUACCCUUUCCUUCCUGCUUACACAAGUCAGGGUGGGCCUACCAUUGAUUUCUGCCUGUGGCACCUGAAAAAAUUAUGAUUAACAGUGAGCCCAGCUAGAUGCCACUUCUAGACACAAAAAUUCCUGGGGGCAGGCUAGAUUUCCCCCCAGCAGCUCAGUCAUCAGAGGGGGAGGAUUAGGACUAGAAAUAAUGUCUCCUGACUCCUUAUUCCAACCCUCCAGCUUUUCCAGGGAGAUAGCUACCAGGCCUUGUGCCUGGUAGUGAAUGACCAGGAUGUGGAUCACCUGGAAGGGAGCUCAGAGCUGAGGAAUCUGAUCCAGUGAGAAUCCUGCAGACAGAGGACCUGUCUCAGGUCUUUUCAGCAGUGAAAGAUCUGGAGUUGAAGUUGGAAGAAGGAGCUAAUACUCAGGGUGAGGCUGGGAGUGCUGAUCAGAGUUUGUGCAGGUGGGAUCCAGCCACAGUGCUGGCUCUGGGUGAAGCAGGAAGUGCUAGCCAGCUUCCCUCUCUGUCCUCCUGCAUCACAUGACCUGCAUCUUCUGUGUACAUAGCCAACCUUACACUGAAGUCUCUUCUCAAGAGAGGAUUGGGUAUCGGUCAACUAUACCAUCAUGUAAAUUUGGGAUGUUGCAUGCUUUUCUCCAGGAGAAUUUGGAAGCUAGACAGGUGUUUGAUUAAAAAACAUGCCAUUCCCCAUUAAAAGACUCUAGGGAGUAAUGAGUAUAGGAGAUAUUUCUUGGUGGGAGUGGAAAAAAACCAUCCUUCCAGAACUUUUUAUUUUUAUAUAUAAAGAUACCCCUGGCUAAAGGUGCUGUAGGGGUCCUUCUUCCCUUCCUGGAAGUACAAGUGCAUGAUCACAGGUGCCAUUUGGAGAUGCUAUUGUCAUUGAUGUUGCUAACUCUAGUGGACUGAUUUUGACUACUGUCUUGGUUUGAGUUGCUCCUGAGGCAGAUCCCGAGAUAAGAAUUUGAGUACAAGUAAUUCAUUUGGGAAGUAAUCUAAAGAAGUCCUGAUAGUGGUAGGAAAGUGAGAAAGAGAAGGGGUGGUAACAAAUAUGGGAUGUAUUAUGAAGUCAGUUACACCUGUGUCCAACUGAGCCUCAAUCCUCCUGGAGAACUCUGAACGAAUGAAUGAAUGAAUGGACGGACAUUUGCAUGAAUGACAGUAAUCGCCUAUGUGAGUGGUUUGGGGUAGAUCAAGGAAAGGGGCUGAGUCCCAUGCCUGGACCAACACAGAAUGGAGGGGACAAGGAGCCGAGAGAAGAGAACUGCUAUACGAGUUGAGAUGCAGUAAAAUCAGGAGUUCAGUGGGCGUGAGAGCUCAGAGGGUGUCAGGGACAGGUGACCUUGAGAAGACACCCUGGGGGUGUUAACCCAAUUUUGCAGAGUGCAUUAAACUCACAGAACCUAGGAUGGGGGCUGGAUUCACUUUUACUUAAUCUUGAAUGACACAGAGACCUCUGCUGACACCCAGGUGAAGAUAAACAGGAGCAGCUGAGAGACCUCAGUCCUGGGCCUGGCUGCUUCCACUUGGUGUCAACUUAAGCAAAUGUCUUUAUGGGGUAGGCUGGAUAAUGGCCCCUAGUGAUGUCCAUGUCCUAAACUCCAGAACCUGUGAUGUUACCUUAGAUGGCAAAGGGGACUUCACUGAUGUGGUUAAAUUACAAAUCUUGAGACAAGGAGAUCACCCUGGAGCAUUCACAUGGUAAUCACAAAGGUCCUGAUGAGGGCAGCAGGAAGUUCAAAGUCAGAGACAAGAGGGUGAUGUGACCAUGGAAACAGAGGGGACUGAUGAGGACGGAAGCCAAGGGGCGCUGGCAGCUUGUGGAAGCUGUAAGAAGCAAGGAAUGGAUUCUCCCCUGGAGCCUACAGAAGGAACCAGCCCUGCUGACACCUUGAUUUUAGCCCUGUAAGACUUGUCCCCAACUUCUGACCCCAGCACUGUAUGAAAAUACAUUCAUAUUAUUUUAAGCCA